CUUACGGGAGGGCAGCAAUUGGGGAUUUUUGACAAUGGGGGCAAGCCCUGAUCUAGCAAUGCCGCGUGAGUGAUGAAGGCCUUAGGGUUGUAAAGCACUUUCGCCGGUGAAGAUAAUGACAGUAUCCAGAGAAGAAGCCCCGGCUAACUCCGUGCCAGCAGCCGCGGUAAUACGGAGGGGGCAAGCGUUGUUCGGAAUUACUGGGCGUAAAGGGCGUGUAGGCGGCGUUUUCAGUCAGGGGUGAAAGCCCAGGGCUCAACCCCGGAAUAGCGUUUGAUACUGAUAGGCUUGAGUCCGAAAGAGGGUAGUGGAAUUCCCAGUGUAGAGGUGAAAUUCGUAGAUAUUUGGGAAGAACACCAGUGGCGAAGGCGGCUCCCUGGCCCGAAUCUGACGCUGAGGCGCGAAAGCUGGGACAAAAGGAUUGAUACCUGGAGUCCCACCUAAACGAUAAUCCUGACUUUGGGAACAUGUUUUUCGGUUCGCCCCUAACGCAUUAAGC
rnacentral:rRNA from 1 species